UUCGAAUCGAACCAGCUGAUCCCAAUUUUCUCCAAGUUUUUUCACAAUUGCCGUCCAAUUGAAUUGUUGAUUUAAAAGAUUUUUCUCUCGUGCAUUGACAAUCUCUUCCUCUUCCUCUUCAUCGUUAUCUUUUUCAUCAUCUUCAAGAAUAGUGUUAGUGUUGUUGUCUGUUGCUUGGUCAACAUCAUCUUGUCGUUUUUUAUUUUCACCUUUGUCUUGCUGCUCCCGCCGCUG